rnacentral:rRNA from 1 species
GUAUAACUUAGUGGCAGACGGGUGAGUAAUGUAUAGGAAUCUACCUAGUAGUACGGAAUAAUUGUUGGAAACGGCAACUAAUACCGUAUACGCCCUACGGGGGAAAAAUUUAUUGCUAUUAGAUGAGCCUAUAUUAGAUUAGCUAGUUGGUGGAGUAAUAGCCUACCAAGGCAAUGAUCUAUAGCUGAUCUGAGAGGAUGAUCAGCCACACUGGAACUGAGAUACGGUCCAGACUCCUACGGGAGGCAGCAGUGGGGAAUAUUGGACAAUGGGCGAAAGCCUGAUCCAGCCAUGCCGCAUGAGUGAAGAAGGCCUUUGGGUUGUAAAGCUCUUUUAGUGAGGAAGAUAAUGACGGUACUCACAGAAGAAGUCCUGGCUAACUCCGUGCCAGCAGCCGCGGUAAUACGGAGAGGGCUAGCGUUAUUCGGAAUUAUUGGGCGUAAAGGGCGCGUAGGCUGAUUAGUAAGUUAAAAGUGAAAUCCCAAGGCUCAACCUUGGAAUUGCUUUUAAAACUGCUAAUCUAGAGAUUGAAAGAGGAUAGAGGAUUUCCUAGUGUAGAGGUGAAAUUCGUAAAUAUUAGGAGGAACACCAGUGGCGAAGGCGUCUAUCUGGUUCAAAUCUGACGCUGAGGCGCGAAGGCCUGGGGAGCAAACAGGAUUAGAUACCCUGGUAGUCCCCGCUGUAAACGAUGAAUGUUAAAUAUGGGAAGUUUACUUUCUGUAUUACCGCUAACGCGUUAAACAUUCCGCCUGGGGACUACGGUCGCAAGAUUAAAACUCAAAGGAAUUGACGGGGACCCGCACAAGCGGUGGAGCAUGUGGUUUAAUUCGAUGCAACGCGAAAA